GGAUCGACUGCCCGUCGAUCUGGUCCGAUGAACCCUAUUCCAGUCGAGAGGUCUCUUUCCCUCCCUUCCCUGCCGUGUCGGAUCCCCACGACAACCCUUUCUCCGUUCCGCCUCCGACCAGGCCCGAAAGGAAAAGCCUUCCCGGCCGCCCCCGCCCCCGCCCCCGCUCCCGCCGCGCUCGCCAUGGACUUCUCUGAACAGGACGUCGACGUCUUCGGCGAGGACUACGACGUCCAAGACGGUGGCGCUGAGGCUGAGGCCGACGGCGGCGGCGACUCGUCGGGCUCCUCCUCCCCGUCCUCAUCCUCGUCGUCCUCCGCCGCCGCGUCCUCCUCCUCCUCCAGUGGCGGCUCAAGCCGCAGCAGCAGCGACGGCGCUGCCGGAGAGGGCGAGGACGGCGCCGACGAGGGGGAUGCCGAGGAGUACGAUUCGUCCAACCUCGUGGGGACGAGGGCCACCGGCGCCGGUGGCUACCGGGACGACGAGAGGGGGGAGGAUGGGGACGAGGAGGUAGAGGAAGAGAGGGAUUUGUUCGGCUCCGACAACGAGGAUUACGUCAGAACCCCCGCGCGCAGCCAGUACCUAGUCCCAGUGCUUCCUGCAAUUCGGAACACUAAUAAUCAUUCUCGAGGAGGCUUUGGAGGACGAGGUGGCAGAGGUCCACCACUUCUUCCAAGACCAGGAGGUCAUCCAGGGCGACAUAACUUUGGCUAUGGUAGAUUCGGGAAUGGGCGUAAUGUCGAAGGUUUGGUUUCAGACCUGAAGCUUAAUAAAAGCGAAGAAACAUUGUCUAGAAAAGCUGUUGCUUUUCAGGAGCCUUCCGAGAUCGGAUGCUUAAGCCGCGUUGAGGGUGGAGGUGUGUUCUUUGAUGAUCGCAGCUUGAGGCUCUUCAAACGUGAAAUUUGUGACUAUGUCGGUGCAGAUCUCAAUAAAGGAUUCGAGUCAUUUAUAGAGAAGAAAGAUUUGGGUUCUGAAGGAUUUGGCGAUCUUCUCGCAUGCAUAAGAAGUAGGCCCAUAAUUCUUCAGAAUAAUAUACAUUUUGUGACAUACCGCAAUAAUCUUAACAAGAUAUUGGCCACUGCUUACCUAAGAGAACCAUGGAAGAUGGGCGUUCACAAAAGAAUGGGUGUUGUAUACCUUGAUGUUCAUAAGCUCCCUGAAAGACCAAAAAGUGAGAUGGAGCGUAGGAGAUGUUAUUGGGGCUAUUCUUUUGAGAAUCUUGCCACUGAGAACUCCUUCAAUGAGGAUGGGGGAGGUAUUGAUGCAAAUGUAGAGUAUUGUUCUGUAAUAAAGACAAAAUUGGGUGCCCAUCGCAUUAUUAUGGGUGCCGAGAUGGAUUGCUGUGAUGCAACUGAUGAUGGCAGGCGGUUCUAUGUGGAGUUGAAAACAAGCAGAGAGCUGGAGUACCAUACAGUGGAAGCAUAUGAGAAAGAAAAGCUACUUAGGUUUUGGAUUCAAUCAUUCCUGGCUGGUGUUCCUUAUGUUGUUGUUGGGUUCAGGUAUUAUUCACCUUUUAUCAUGUUUUCCUCUAUAUUAUAACGAGAUUCUGCCAUUCUGGUCUACUGAGCUUUGUCACUUGCCAUUGUGCAAUUCAAUCUGACUGCUGAAGUUAAAUCUUGUUGAUAUGAUUAUAAAGCAAAAUCUGUUGCUAACGGUUGCAUUGGGUCUUGAUGGCUCUACUCUUAUAGGAAUGAUGCUGGCAUACUCGUGCGAACAGAAAGACUAAGAACCAAAGAUAUUACACAAAAGGUGAAGGCAAAGAACUACUGGCAGGGUGGUGUUUGCCUGGCCUUUGCUGAUGAGGUCUUAUGCUGGCUGUAUGGGACUGUCAAAGAGAAUGAAGACUAUGUUCUGCAAUUUGUACAUCCAUGUAAUCGCUUGGAACUUCUACGAGCCCAGUCUCCCUGCCCUGAAGCCCUAACUUUGCAUGUGCAGCAGCUUUCAGGUGCAGCAGACUAGAUUAUAUUAUUAUAGCCUUGACUUUUGAGGUGACAACUGCCUUGGAGAAAGUUCCAUGGGGCUCCAAUUCUAUCAGCUGAGCCAGAAUUGUGGAGCUGACAACUUAGUCUAACCCAAUCACCAAGGGAGAUGAGCUGAUGCAUCAAGAGCUAAUGGCAUCGGUCACCGGGAGCAGCUAUAUCCAUGGUGCACUCUCUGAGUGGCCAAAGAGAUUUUGAACCCAUCAAAGAUUGUAUUUUGAUUGUAACAUUAUGUUAUAAAAACUACACAUACGAAGAGCUAUAACACUAUGCUGCUGGUUCGAGCGAUCAAUCAUGUAAACUGUACCAUUGAUGAGAUGAAUGUUGAACAGCCAAGUAGCCAUAGUUGUUGCAAGUUACAUGUAAACAGAACCUUUUCGCACACUAGACUUGAAAUAACAAAUUUUCAUUAGGCGGUUGGAAUGGU